GAGGCCCUGAGGCGGCUGUUGCCGGGGGUGCUGUGGCGGCCCCGCGCCUGCCUUCUCGCCGCGCCACGCCUUUCCAGCGGAGGCGGCUCUUGUCUCCCUCCUCCCCCUCGCAGGGGCGAGGGACCGGAGGAGGAGGAGGAGGAGGAGGGAGACGGAGACGGAGACCGGUAUGGCCGUGGCCGAGGCGAAGGCGUCGGGCUCGCGGCGCUGUCCCGGCGGUGUCCCUGCACAGCCCCCCCCGUUCGCUCUUCGCCGCCUUCCUCGCCCCGCGAAGCCAGUGCCGGCCAGGUGGCAAGGCCGACUGCAAGGACAGGCAGGCGGUGUCUGCAGCUACGGCCCGUGGGCUUCUCAAGAGGGCCUUAGAAAAAAGUGUUUAUGUUGUUCAGGAAAAAUACGGCCAUAGAUUUAACAUACAGUUGAGCGUGCUGCUCCGAGGCGGCUGUUUCUAUGAAAAAAACCCUGCCGCCUCCUUCUUGUUUGACCCGUGUCCAAAUGGCAGUUUAAAGAGAUCAUUUGCGUGGCGCUGUGCUACUGACACAGUCUUUGACCUUUGACGCAAUUUGGCAAAUCAGAUUAAUUACAAAAGCCUUUGAAACACACCUUCCCAUUGACCUCCUGCUGUCCACUAGAGACAAGAGUACUUGAAAACAGAAACCUGAAAAGUGCGAGCCGAUGUAGUUUCCAUAGGAGAUUAAAGAGCUCACUGUCAAGUUUAUCCCAGAUAUUUGUGAGUAGGGGACAGCUAAGCAGUCCUAGUGCCCACAGCACAAUGUGCCUUGACUGCAAAAUCCAUCGGCUUCUGGCCAGAAAAGCACCAAGAAAACCCCUCAGAGCUCUCACUGGACGGGUCUACUUGUAGGAGAAGGGGUUAGGUUGUUCCCUGGUUCCUGUUUGUCCUCAGUGAGACAAAGGAAAAACAAUGCUCCGUGGAAACCAGCUCCCCUGGCAUGAGGUAAAGAGCGGCAGUUCUCCUGAGCAGGAGUGAUCCAUACAGAAUUGUAUCCAAACUAGCCCAGUGAUUUAUUGAGAAUGAAAACAGCACGUUACCCUGUAAACCAGGUAUUGCUGUUUACCGAGAAGUACCAGCAGGGGCUUCCCAGAAGUAUCAGGAACCUCUAUGCUAUUAGGCACAAGUGCUGAGAGGCAAUUUCUGCCCUUGAUAGUUUGCAGUGAAGGCCAGCACGGAAAUUAUAAAUGUUUCAUGCUGAGCCUUUAUGUGCAGUGGAACUGCUCUUAUAUUUACAGGGUUUUGGAAAGUAAGUGCAAGGCAGCUGAAGAGGCCACAGCAGGAAUUCGAGGUGGCAGGAGAAAAAAGGCAGCAGGCGUAAGACGAGCUUUGUGAGAAGGCAGCAGGCUUGAAGACGAGGCCAGGGCACAACAGCAAGGAUCCACAGGGGAAUAGGUGGGGGAGCAGGGCAGGGGGGAUAGGCCAUGGUGCAGCACUUGGUACUUUGAGGGGCCUCUGACCGCACUCGGAAGACAGGUGGCAAAAAAAUUCACAAACAGGAAGGGCAAGUACUUGUACUAUGAAACAUUUGUUUUUGACUGCAAACAGUUAAUUUGGACUUUCCCCUUGCAUUUUUUUUCCCUAAAGGAUGAGUUAAAUUUUCUAGAUUCCAGCUCCCCUAACAAGGAAUUUCGGCUCCUGCAAGAUUAUUUUUCUUGCUCUUUUCUGUCUCACUGCCUCUGGUUUUGCUUCUCCAUCAUGUUCCUGACCUUUCCCUCUCCUGCCACCCAUUCUGCUUUAUUUUGUUCUCCUUUUCCUUCACAAUUUGCAUAUUUUUUUUUCUCAUUAUUUCUCUCCUGCUACUUAUUUUCCCUUUUUUACUCAUUGUUCUUUCCUGCAUGCUUCUACCUUUGGAUUCUAAAACCUUAAUUGACUGCCUCAUGUGACUGGAAAACAAACCAAACUACCCGGGGCAGGGAGAGAUGGGCUGCCAGUGUGCUAGCAUGCUGUCCUGCCCGGCGUUGUAACUGGACACGCAGCAGCUGUGAUUCUUCGGUGGGUGGAAAAGAAAUGUCCAUUGUAAUCUCCAUGUAUUAGAUCUCAGAUCAAGCUAGAAACACAGAGCAAACUUGUUCUGAACACCCUGCUUUUCUCACCAGCACGACGUGCUCUGCAAUGCCUGACAUUACAAGUGGAAAAACUUACUUUUUCACCAUGCUUUCUAUCCUCAUAAGUGAAGAUUUGUUCCCUAUGGUACACUACUAGCUAAUUAUCUCUCUGUACUCUCUAAGUUUGCUAGCAGAUCAGAAGAGACCAGAAAAGAUCCCAUGGGUGUGGUGAAGGGAAGUAGCCAUCCACUUAACACUGACCUUCAAAUAAUUGGCAACAGCUAUCAUUUUUCAUGGCACUUUUCAAAGGCAGCCCUUCAAAAUCAGGUCUGGGCUGAAACUGCAGAGCCGGAGCAGAGGAUCCUUUCUGCAUGCUGCAGUGUCCCUAAGCAGACACUGGGCAGCUGAGAAGGAGACCCUCCUGUUCCCCAAGACAUCUCAGCAGGGGCUGAUAACCAGUACUCCAAGCACACAGGAGACAUGGACCCUGGGUCUUCAUUUCAGGGGAGCCAAGACCAGAAGACCAGCUGUUAGGGUCACCAUUAAUACCCUAUUCAAGAGAAAUUGGAUGCCUUUUUCGAAGAGACAUUUUAUUUGGGUGGAAAUUAAUCGACUCACUACAGGGGGCAAAUAGGUCAAACCUGUGGCCUGUAUCAUGCAGGCUUUUUGAGUCCACGUUGAACCACCCAUGGAUAGCUGAAGAGGGAGCCUGUUUCCUAGUCCAACAGUGGCUUCAGUUGAACUGCAGCUCAGUAAUGAAGGAGGAAAAACAGCACUCUCAGCACUCGCCAUGCUAUUAGCCCUUAUGCCUCCUAGGUUGAAAAAGGUUUCCUUUUCUGGACUGCAGGCCCAAAGCCAUCCUCACAGGUGUGAGGAGGCUGGAAUACUGUGCCAACCCCUGGAGGUGUAUGUUUGACCCAGAAGCACAGAUCCCUGUAUCGCACCCGGUACUAGUAAGUAUCGGUCUAAGGACAGGUGAGUGCAAGAUGCUGUGUCACCUGGAAAGAAGCUAUUUGAAGGUCAGCUGCUGCACGGUGACCUCUGCGUGCAGGCUUUCUGGUCUAUUGGAGGCACAUGUAGGGUUCGUAUCCCAACACAGCUGGCUCACGAAGGCAAGAGAAAGCUGAGGUAAGCCCCAAAAAGUUGUUUGGAUGGCACAUCUUGUGCUGCCCGCUUUAUGGAAGAAAGGUGGAGAACAAAACUCCACAGCGAGUAAAGUAACAGGACAGAAACAACACUGCAGCGCUCCUGCAGUGUUGUGGUGUGCUUCUGUACCAAGGAGCAGUUUAUAAAGAAGUGCUUGAUGAUACUCUAGUAGAAACAGGAAUUUUUCAAUGCCUUAGGUGGGAAAGGGACGAAGACCAUAAUAGUAAGUUAAGUAUCUCAGAGUAAUUACCAUGUAAGAACUGCCUUUAGUGCUGUAACACUUGUCUGCCUUGCUUGGGUAUUCUGAAGGAAAAGGAAAUGGCUGAGACACUGCUUUUCUGCAGUGCCUCCCUAGUACAGCAAAGCAAGCUUUCUCAGUAACCUGUUAAUGCAGGACGAA